UUCAUGUUCACACUGAACUCUAAUGAGCCCAGGAACAGUUGUUAAUGAUGAUUUUCAGCUGGUUUGCACAUGAUGAUGAGUUAAUGUUAUUUUGCUGGUCAGAAUUUAUGGUUUUCUGGUGCUUAUACAAUAUGAACUGAACUAAAUGACCUGACUAUUUCAGCAUCUUAAAGUGUAUUAUAAUAAUACUACAAAAUGAGUUUGUAAUGCCCUUGAAAAGAAACAAUUCAGAGUGCUAGAAUUAAAAGUAUGAUUCAGAAUUCAAACAACUGAGUUUAGUAUCUAAUGACUGCCAUUUCUGUUUUUUUGUAUUUUUGUUACUUAGAAAAAAAAAAGCAAACUUAAAAAAUCCCUGUGAGAUAUUUGAUGUUACCCACAGAAACAUAUGCUAUAAUAUGAUAUAAUCCCUUCUAAAUAUCUGAUUGUGUGUCAGCCAAGGGUCAAGGUUCAUCCAAGCAAACUGUCAACACUGCAUUUUAUUUUAUGUCGAGACAAAACGACUGACUCCUUCUUAAAUAUGACAGUUUUACACAUUUAACGAAUCUGAACAACACUACAGCUGUCAGCUGCUAAUGUCUGGUUUGCGUACAGUUUACAUGAAUCAUCGAUUAGGUAAUCGAUUGAGCUGAUUGCCUCGUGUUGUGUUCAGUCAAGCAACGUUGGUGAGCGGGUAACUAGCUUAGUGCCGUUAGCUGUGUUAACUAAAGCUAACUCACGGACGGCGAUGGGGACUAGUGGAAACUAAGCUAAACUUUGUGCUCAUGGUGAAUGCUGUACCUUCCUGAUGAACUGAAACAGGCUGAAACCCAGGUUCACAGUGGCGUUUGCUCCAUCUUUUGUCUGGAUGUUGUGACUUCAGGCCUUUAACCUCCUUCCUGUUGCUCAUCUGAGACGCUGCUGACUGUGGAGCUGAGGUUCAUUCUGCUGCCGUAAGUCACUUUGCAUCAGCUAAAGACCCUAUUUAACAGCUAAUGUACAUCUAAUUCACUUUACUCCAGAAUGUUAAACUUUAAAAUUUGAUAUUCCCUGAUUU
rnacentral:lncRNA from 1 species